GAUCCUGCCGGACCCCACUGCUAUCGGGAUAGGACUAAGACAUGCUAGUCAAGCGCUCUUUGGCUAUGAAUAGAGUGCGGCGUACAGCUCAGUAACACGUGGCUAACCUGCCCUCGGGACAGAGACAACCCCGGGAAACUGGGGCUAAUCCCUGAUAGGUGAAGAACUCUGGAAUGAGUCUCCGCCUAAAAGACGCUUACAUCAUGCUUGUAGGCGCUGCCCAAGGAUGGGGCCGCGACCGAUCAGGUUGUUGGUGAGGUAACGGCUCACCAAGCCAUUUACCGGUACGGGCCGUGAGAGCGGGAGCCCGGAGAUGGGCACUGAGACAAGGGCCCAGGCCCUACGGGGCGCAGCAGUCGCGCAAACUCUGCAAUACACGAAAGUGUGACAGGGCUAUCCCGAGUGCCGCCCGCUGAGGGUGGCUUUUACUCAGUAUAUCAAGCUGAGAGAAUAAGGAGAGGGCAAGACUGGUGUCAGCCGCCGCGGUAAUACCAGCUCUCCGAGUGGGUGUGGAUGUUUAUUGGGCCUAAAGCAUCCGUAGCUGGCUGAACAAGUCCUCUGUUAAACCCAACGAAUCAAUCGUUGGAUCGCGGGGGAUACUGCUCGGCUUGGGGGCGAGAGAGGCAGACGGUAUUUUCGGGGUAGGAGUGAAAUCCUAUAAUCCCGGGAAGACCACCAGUGGCGAAGGCUGUCUGCUAGAACGCGCCCGACGGUGAGGGAUGAAAGCUGGGGUAGCGAACCGGAUUAGAUACCCGGGUAGUCCCAGCUGUAAACUAUGCAGGCUAGGUGUUUGGGCGGCCACGUGCCGCUCUAGUGCCGCAGGGAAGCUGUUAAGCCUGCCGCCUGGGGAGUACGAUCGCAAGAUUGAAACUUAAAGGAAUUGGCGGGGGAGCACCACAAGGGGUGAAGCUUGCGGUUUAAUUGGAGUCAACGCCGGG
rnacentral:rRNA from 1 species